CCUUGAAAUUAAAUAUUUUUUAAACUAUAGGAUAAAAUUCUCCAUUAAAGUAGAAGUUUUAUUUUAGUUAUAUUUUAUUUUAUAUGACAUGACAGUUUUAGAAAGAACGCCUCAAAACAUUCGGUUCGUUGGUUCCUGAUGAGAGAUUUAGUCAUUUAUUUAGUAGAGCGUUUAUAAGUCAGACAUACUCUACCUUUUUAUACGUUUGAUUUGACUGAUGAUACACCUUUGG
rnacentral:lncRNA from 1 species